GACGAACGCUGGCGGCGUGCUUAACACAUGCAAGUCGAGCGGAGCGGCGGACGGGUGAGUAACGCGUGAGUAACUGCCCCCCUCCCUGGGAUAACAGUUGGCAACGGCUGCUAAUACCGGAUAGCGGGGGAUGACUCGCGUCCUAUCCGCUUGUUGGUGGGGUAGUGGCCUACCAAGGCGACGACGGGUAGCCGGUCUGGGACGGCGACCGGCCACAUGGGGCUGGGAUACGGCCCGAACUCCUACGGGAGGCAGGAGUGGGGAAUAGUGCACAAUGGGGGAAACCCUGAUGCAGCAACGCCGCGUGCGGGAUGACGGCCUGCGGGUUGUAAACCGGUUUCAGCAAUGACGCGGUAGUGGCAGAAGAAGCACCGGCUAACUACGUGCCAGCAGCGCGGUAAUAC
rnacentral:rRNA from 1 species